UCUUAAUCUUAAAAAAACCAAAACAAAAAAGAAGAAGAGUCUUGUUAACAAGGGAGAGCUGGCCCUGUGGCGCGGUCCUGGAGCCUGGACCUUAGUUGUUCACACGGAAAGCAGCUCCGUGAAGGAGAGCGAGGCUGAGCCCUUCCAGACCAGCCCUCCUGUCCCAGGAGCGGGAGGCCGGGAGGUGGCUGCGGUGGCCUGCCUGUGACACACAGAAGUGUGCCCGAGGGAGGGCCGGCCCUGGGGACCCCAGAGCCCCAGCAGACCGCAGGGGGUGAGGAGGACGUCUGAAAUAAUCAUGUUUUCCCAGGCCCGGGGGGAGCAUAGGUGCUUCCGGCUCUGGGCAGACGCUCCAUGAGAGGUUACUUUUUUGUUUUUGUUUUUAACAGACCGUUUUCUGGAGCAGUUUCAGGUUUGCAAGACAAUUGGGAGACGAGUACAGAGAUGCCCCACGUGCCCUGCCCCCGCCGCCGACACCCUUCAGCAGGUGGAGCUAAAUCCUCAAGCAUCUGUUUCCGCGUCUUCGAAAUUCCCAGGGAAGGAUCCAGGCCUGCGGCUCAAGGCCUUUUCUUUAAGGGGAGCUCCAAAGUGCAGGAUUUGGUGCUAAAGAAAAACCCAUUGUGGAGACACCAAGCCCCGCGUCUGCUUCCUAGGCUUCCAGGGAGCGUGUGUUGAGUGGGAAUUCAUAGCAGUGUCGCCGGUACUUGGGAUGUUGUCUGACUUCUUUUGUGUUUUGUUAAAAAUUAAACGGUUGCACUGCCCAUUAUGCAUUCUCCAUUGUCCCUUCUCACCGGUGUUUCCUGUGUCCUGGGCUGGCCCCUUGCUCUGAAUGACUGAAUGACCACAUGUCACCAGCUGUAAUGAGCUCUCACUAUUUCUCUGGGCCAUUUAAUAAACACUGCUUAUCUGUGGCCAGAGGGAUGCACUAUGUUACACCCCAUGUGGUUCUUACAGGAUGGGAGAGCGCCGCGUGACACCCAACAGGAAACCCAAAAACAGAAGCAGAGAAAAAGAAUGUCUUAAGGAAUCUGAUUGUGUCCAUACUGAGUUGCUGAUAGCGCUGUAUUUGUUUAUUGAUUCCAAAGCCAGGAAGAGAAGUUUCAUAGUUAAAAUAGAAAAGAUAAUCAAAUAAUAUUUCAAGGACUUUAGAUAUCACUAUUAAUAUGGAAAAGAUUAUUAAAUUCAUUUUCCUGUGUCUUAGAUGCUUUUUAAUUUAUCCGGUGGUCGAGUACAGUUUACUUCUUGAAGUAAGAAAACAAGGAUUCCUCAAAAACUUUGGGUGUUUUUCUCUUCUUUCCUAUUAAUUGCCAGUUUUGUAGCCAGCACACGUCACAGGUUUUAACUGUAACCUGAAAUAAUAUCUUGAACUUAAAACGCCCAAAUUAUUUUGAGGUUUAGGAAGGCAGAAAUUCCGGCAGCGAAGUCAAUUUCAUACCCCAUGUUUCUGAGCUGUGUGUUAGAAACUUGAACAGUCUUGUGUGCCUUUGACUUCUCUAAGCUGUGGCAUUUUCAAUAAUCAACUAUUAUUGGAUUUUUGGAUUAGUAUGUGGAUUUGCAUGUUGGAUUUAAUUUCAUUAAUAUGUGAGUUUUAAAUUUAUGUGUCAAAUAUUUCUCAAAAUGCUAGAAUAGUCAACUUCAUGUAUUAGUUAGCAUUUAGAUGUGUAAUUUACUAUUCGUUUUUUGGGUUUGAGGGAUUAAAGAAGAAUUAGUACUAAAGAGACAAAUGACAAAAUUUGUGGCUCUCACAACAAUAGCCAGGAUUCUUUGGUUUUUAAAAUGCAAUUAAAUUUUCUCAAAGUUACA